rnacentral:rRNA from 1 species
UACAGAGGGGGCAAGCGUUGUUCGGAAUUACUGGGCGUAAAGGGCGCGUAGGCGGCCUUCUAAGUCAGACGUGAAAUCCCUCGGCUCAACCGGGGAACUGCGUCUGAGACUGGAAGGCUUGAAUCCGGGAGAGGCGAGUGGAAUUCCUGGUGUAGCGGUGGAAUGCGCAGAUAUCAGGAGGAACACCAAUAGCGAAGGCAGCUCGCUGGGACGGUACUGACGCUAAGGCGCGAAAGCGUGGGGAGCGAACAGG